CCCUCUCCCCCCCUCUCUCUCUCUUUCUCUCACUCACUCACUCACUCACUCACUCUUGAUUUCCUCUCUUCUACUUCAAAAUAUACCUAGAUAUGUCUCUUUUUAUUGCUUGCUCUAUUCGUUCGUUUCCUCGUCAUAUAUCUUUCUAUUUUUCUUUCUUUCUUUUUAUCACUUUCAGUUCCAAUCUCAUUCAUUCUUCUCUCUCUGUCCUAAUCUCGUCGAUCUUUCCGUUUCCAUCAACAUCAAUUCUUCUCUCAUUCUAUUCAUCAUCUUUUUUAUUCUUUUCUACUUAUUUUCUUCCGUCCUUUCCUCAACAUUGUGUAAAUUUCUAUCCGUCGAUCUCUUCUCUUUUUCUUUUUACUCUAGCCUUAACUUUUCUGUAAUUAUUCUCUUUUAUCUCCGUUUUGCAUUGCCUAGAUUUCGUCUAUUUCUUUCGCAUUCAUAUUUAAUUUGACAAAAUAGAAGGCCACGUGCUUCUAGUAUUUUAGUCACGCAAGGAUGGGACAUGUGGUUUGUACGUUGUAUAACGAUGCAUGGACUCAGAAACUAGCAUAUUUUCCAAGUUUAACAAAAGAAAGUAAAACCAAUCUGUCUCAUUUUGGAAAGUAAUUAAUUCAUGUUUUUCAAAAUUAACUUACAUAUCGUAGGAAAUGUUAUAUAAUUUUUUUCUGUGUAAAUAGCAAAAGAAAAGACCAAACAUUUUGGUAUAUCAAAUCAUACAGAUUCAUAAAAUUUAUACAAAUAUAUAUACACACACAUUACAUUUUUAUUUUUUAUCAUGAAAUCACAUACGACCAAAAGUACAUGCAGAAAUAUUAACGAGAUGGUCAGGAUUCAUCUGAUUCACUCGUCUUGACACGAAUUACAUCAUUUCAAAGUCAAGAUAUUUUCUUUGUUAAAAAAAAAAAAAAAAAAAACGAAAAAAGAAUUCAAUGUUACAUCGUUAACAGUCUGAAUUCGAUUAUAAACGUGUUAUCUCUAUUUAGAGAUACUUGGGAUUUUUUAAAUAUAGAUUACUCAUUACUUAAUACAUACAGAGUAUUUAUCUUGAAAGAAACCAAAUUGAUGAGAAAGGAUAAACAAAAACCCGUCGAAAAAUACGAGAACACUCUGUAUUAUAAAAUCACGACGAGUUCGGACAUUCCGAUUACGACACUCCGAGGAAGAACUGCGAAGGCCGAUAAGGAAAGAAAGAAUACGAGGAAAAGGAAAAGAUAAGUGACAGCAGAGGUGAACGAGGCGGAUCCGUGAGGGUUUGCGCGAGUGGUGCUUACGUAAGCACGCGUGUAGAUAAGAAUGUGCUUAUCUAAGGAACGUCGCUAUGCGAGUAACCGCAUGCUAAAGUAUGAAAUCAUAACGAUGUGAAGAGAUUUUGAAGAGACAAAUGUAUCCUAUAGUGACAAUUUUGAUAAACGAAGAAGAAAAAUCGCACAAGCCUGUGUGUGUACAUACGCUGUUCCCGGUCGUAUUCUCCUCUGGUUGCCUGCCACAUGAGGUAGGGUGAUCCAAUUGGGGUUCGAAUAGCCCAACGUGGUGGCCUCCCCUUUGAGUUCCCGCUGCGAUCAAUACUCACGCUACGAUGCCAAAGCCAAGCUAAGCUACAGUAGAUUCUACGUACAGAAGUCUUCAUGAUGCGAGAAUGUCCUUGACAACGAUAGUAAAUUGCCGUCGCUAAGUCUCGCGACUGUAGAAUGCGGUGGAAUACAAAGGUCGUAUCUAAAUCUAUCUUAUAGACUCUAUUAUCGUUAACUAUUCUGUAAUAAUCCCGAGCAACUAAUAGUUUAUAAGUUAUAAGUGAAACAGAACAUGAAGAAAAAAAUCGAACAUGUAUAAUUUUGUCAUGGCGUUGCAUCACGCUUAGCUCAAGUAUACCGCAUCCACUGUCUAUAAGGAAGAGGAAAUAAAACUCUUUUCUGAUAA
rnacentral:lncRNA from 1 species